GAUGAACGCUAGCUACAGGCUUAACACAUGCAAGUCGAGGGGUAACGAGAGGAAAGCUUGCUUUCCUUGUCGACGACCGGCGCACGGGUGAGUAACGCGUAUCCAACCUGCCCCCAACUAGGGAAUAACCUUGCGAAAGUAAGACUAAUACCCUAUAAUUUCCUCAGAUGUCAUCUGACGAGGAAUAAAGAUUUAUCGGUUGUGGAUGGGGAUGCGUCUGAUUAGCUUGUUGGCGGGGUAACGGCCCACCAAGGCAACGAUCAGUAGGGGUUCAGAGAGGAAGGUCACCACAUUGGAACUGAGACACGGUCCAAACUCCUACGGGAGGCAGCAGUGAGGAAUAUUGGUCAAUGGGCGGAAGCCUGAACCAGCCAAGUAGCGUGCAGGAUGACGGCCCUAUGGGUUGUAAACUGCUUUUAUACAGGAAUAAAGUUAGCCACGUGUGGUUAUUUGUAGGUACUGUAUGAAUAAGGACCGGCUAAUUCCGUGCCAGCAGCCGCAGUAA
rnacentral:rRNA from 1 species